rnacentral:lncRNA from 1 species
UCCUGCAUGAGCUUGACAAAUUCUUGGCAUAAAUCUUCAUUAGUAGACCUAAAUAUAAUAUCAUCAACAUUUAUCUGUAUAACUAGAAUUUCUUUGUCUUUUCUUUUUAUAAAUAGAGUUGUAUCAACUUUUUCUCUCUACAAUUUUAUUUUAUUGUGGUGUUCUAGGUGCUAAAAAAUUAUGAUCUAUGCCUUUUUCAUCAUAAAAUUUUUCAAAUUCUUUAUUUUCAAAUGUAGUGUCAUGGUCACUACGAAUAGAAACAAUUGAUAAAU